rnacentral:rRNA from 1 species
UGGGGAAUUUUGGACAAUGGGGGAAACCCUGAUCCAGCCAUCCCGCGUGUGCGAUGAAGGCCUUCUGGUUGUAAAGCACUUUUGGUAGGAAAGAAACGUCAUGGGUUAAUACCCCGUGAAACUGACGGUACCUGCAGAAUAAGCACCGGCUAACUACGUGCCAGCAGCCGCGGUAAUACGUAGGGUGCAAGCGUUAAUCGGAAUUACUGGGCGUAAAGCGUGCGCAGGCGGUUCGGAAAGAAAGAUGUGAAAUCCCAGGGCUCAACUUUGGAACUGCAUUUUUAACUACCGGGCUAGAGUGUGUCAGAGGGAGGUGGAAUUCCGCGUGUAGCAGUGAAAUGCGUAGAUAUGCGGAGGAACACCGAUGGCGAAGGCGGCCUCCUGGGAUAACACUGACGCUCAUGCACGAAGGCGUGGGGAGCAAACAGG